rnacentral:rRNA from 1 species
GAUGAACGCUGCGGCGUGCCUAAUACAUGCAAGUAGAACGCUGAAGCUUGGUGCUUGCACCGAGCGGAUGAGUUGCGAACGGGUGAGUAACGCGUAGGUAACCUGCCUCUUAGCGGGGGAUAACUAUUGGAAACGAUAGCUAAUACCGCAUAAAAGUCGAUAUCGCAUGAUGUUGAUUUGAAAGGUGCAAUUGCAUCACUAAGAGAUGGACCUGCGUUGUAUUAGCUAGUUGGUGAGGUAACGGCUCACCAAGGCGACGAUACAUAGCCGACCUGAGAGGGUGAUCGGCCACACUGGGACUGAGACACGGCCCAGACUCCUACGGGAGGCAGCAGUAGGGAAUCUUCGGCAAUGGGGGCAACCCUGACCGAGCAACGCCGCGUGAGUGAAGAAGGUUUUCGGAUCGUAAAGCUCUGUUGUAAGAGAAGAACGAGUGUGAGAGUGGAAAGUUCACACUGUGACGGUAACUUACCAGAAAGG